rnacentral:rRNA from 1 species
UUUUCGGAUGUCAGUGGCAGACGGGUGAGUAACACGUGGGAACGUGCCCUUCGGUUCGGAAUAACUCAGGGAAACUUGAGCUAAUACCGGAUACGCCCUUUUGGGGAAAGGUUGACCGCCGAAAGAUCGGCCCGCGUCUGAUUAGCUUGUUGGUGGGGUAACGGCCUACCAAGGCGACGAUCAGUAGCUGGUCUGAGAGGAUGAUCAGCCACACUGGGACUGAGACACGGCCCAGACUCCUACGGGAGGCAGCAGUGGGGAAUAUUGGACAAUGGGCGCAAGCCUGAUCCA